UGGGGAAUAUUGGACAAUGGGGGCAACCCUGAUCCAGCAAUGCCGCGUGAGUGAUGAAGGCCUUCGGGUUGUAAAGCUCUUUUGCCAGGGACGAUGAUGACGGUACCUGGAGAAUAAGCCCCGGCCAACUACGUGCCAGCAGCCGCGGUAAUACGUAGGGGGCGAGCGUUGUCCGGAAUUAUUGGGCGUAAAGAGCUCGUAGGCGGUCUGUCGCGUCGGAUGUGAAAGCCCGGGGCUUAAACCCCGGGUCUGCAUUCGAUACGGGCAGACUAGAGUGUGGUAGGGAGAUCGGAAUUCCUGGUGUAGCGGUGAAAUGCGCAGAUAUCAGGAGGAACACCGGUGGCGAAGGCGGAUCUUCUUGGGCCAAUUACUGACGCUGAGGAGCGAAAGCGUGGGGAGCGAACA
rnacentral:rRNA from 1 species